rnacentral:rRNA from 1 species
AGAGUUUGAUCCUGGCUCAGAACGAACGCUGGCGGCGUGCUUAACACAUGCAAGUCGAGUGCACGUACCGUAGCAAUACGGUAUGGCGCACGGCGCACGGGUGCGUAACACGUGGGCAAUCUGCCCUUCGAUGGGGAAUAUCUUCGGGAAACCGAAGCGAAUUCCGCAUAACAUUCCUUGGACUUCGGUUCGAGGACUCAAAGCCGUAAGGCGUCGAAGGAGGAGCCCGCGCACGAUUAGCUAGUUGGUAGGGUAACGGCCUACCAAGGCUUUGAUCGUUAGCUGGUCUGAGAGGAUGGCCAGCCACACUGGAACUGAGACACGGUCCAGACUCCUACGGGAGGCAGCAGUGGGGAAUCUUGCACAAUGGGCGAAAGCCUGAUGCAGCGACGCCGCGUGGGGGAUGAAGCAUCUCGGUGUGUAAACCCCUUUCGACCCGGAAGAAUGCCUCGCAAGAGGACUGACGGUACGGGUAUAAGAAGCCCCGGCUAACUACGUGCCAGCAGCCGCGGUAAGACGUAGGGGGCCAGCGUUGUUCGGAAUUACUGGGUGUAAAGGGUUCGUAGGCGGUGCGGCAAGUUGGGAGUGAAAUCUCUGGGCUCAACCCAGAGGCUGCUUCCAAAACUGCUGUGCUGGAGUGUGGGAGAGGCGCGUGGAAUUGCAGGUGUAGCGGUGAAAUGCGUAGAUAUCUGCAGGAACACCCGUGGCGAAAGCGGCGCGCUGGACCACAACUGACGCUGAGGAACGAAAGCUAGGGGAGCAAACAGGAUUAGAUACCCUGGUAGUCCUAGCCCUAAACGAUCAGGACUUG